UGGGGAAUUUUGCACAAUGGAGGGAACUCUGAUGCAGCGACGCCGCGUGAGUGAUGAAGGAAUUCGUUUCGUAAAACUUUGUUCUAUGGGAAGAAAAGGACUGUACCAUAGGAGAAAGCUCCGGCUAAAUACGUGCCAGCAGCCGCGGUAAUACGUAUGGAGCGAGCGUUGUCCGGAAUUAUUGGGCGUAAAGGGUGCGCAGGCGGCUUUACAAGUUGGAUGUGAAAUAUUGUGGAUCAACCACAAACGUGCAUCCAAAACUGCAAAGCUUGAGUUGAGGAGAGGUAAGUGGAAUUCCUGGUGUGGCGGUGGAAUGCGUAGAUAUCAGAAGGAUUACCGGUGGCGAAGGCGACUUACUGGACUUAAACUGACGCGAAGGCACGAAAGCGUGGGGAGCAAAAAGG
rnacentral:rRNA from 1 species